rnacentral:rRNA from 1 species
AGGGUUUGAUCCUGGCUCAGAACGAACGCUGGCGGCGCGCUUAACACAUGCAAGUCUCAGGGGCUUGGGGGCAACUCCAAGUCACUGGCAGACGGGUGAGUAACACGUGAGCAACCAUCCUUCGAGUGUGGAAUAACCUGCCGAAAGGCGGGCUAAUACCGCAUAACACUCUCCUGACUUUGGUCGGGAAAUUUAAAGCCGGGGACCGCAAGGCCUGGCGCUUGAAGACGGGCUCGCGCCUGAUUAGCUAGUUGGCGGGGUAACGGCCCACCAAGGCAAUGAUCAGUAGCCGAUCUGAGAGGAUGACCGGCCACACUGGCACUGAGACACGGGCCAGACUCCUACGGGAGGCAGCAGUGGGGAAUCUUGGGCAAUGGGCGAAAGCCUGACCCAGCGACGCCGCGUGAAGGAUGACGGUUUUCGGACUGUAAACUUCUGUGAGGACAGAAAAAGGGUGCAAGACCCAAUACGUCUUGCAUCUGAUAGUACGUCCAGAGGAAGCCCCGGCUAACUCCGUGCCAGCAGCCGCGGUAAUACGGAGGGGGCGAGCGUUGUUCGGAAUUACUGGGCGUAAAGGGCGCGUAGGCGGCUUUUUAAGUCGGUGGUGAAAUCCCGUGGCUCAACUGCGGAACUGCCAUCGAUACUGGAAAGCUUGAAUCCGGAAGAGGUCGGCGGAAUUACUGGUGUAGCGGUGAAAUGCGUAGAUAUCAGUAGGAACACCGAUGGCGAAGGCAGCUGGCUGGACCGGUAUUGACGCUGAGGCGCGAAAGCGUGGGGAUCAAACAGGAUUAGAUACCCUGGUAGUCCACGCCCUAAACCAUGGAUACUUGGUGUGACCACCGCAGUGGUGGUUGUGCCGCAGCUAACGCAUUAAGUAUCCCGCCUGGGGAGUACGGUCGCAAGACUGAAACUCAAAGGAAUUGACGGGGGCCCGCACAAGCGGUGGAGCAUGUGGUUCAAUUCGACGCAACGCGAAGAACCUUACCUGGGCUCGAACGGCUAGUGCCACCGGUAGAAAUAUCGGGUGCUUGAGAUUACAUCAAGAGCCGCUAGUCGAGGUGCUGCAUGGCUGUCGUCAGCUCGUGCCGUGAGGUGUUCGGUUAAGUCCGGCAACGAGCGCAACCCCUAUCUGCUGUUGCCAACGGGUAAUGCCGGGAACUCUGCAGAGACUGACUGCGCAAGCAGAAGGAAGGUGGGGACGACGUCAAGUCAUCAUGGCCCUUAUGUCCAGGGCUACACACGUGCUACAAUGGAUGGUACAAGGGGACGCCAACUCGCGAGAGGGAGCAAAUCUCAGAAAACCAUCCUCAGUUCGGAUCGCAGUCUGCAACUCGACUGCGUGAAGCUGGAAUCGCUAGUAAUCGCGGAUCAGCUACGCCGCGGUGAAUACGUUCCCGGGCCUUGUACACACCGCCCGUCACACCACGAAAGUCAGCAACACCCAAAAUCCCUUCGGGGCCUAAGGUGCGGUUGGUGAUUGGGGUGAAGUCGUAACAAGGUAGCCGUAGGAACCUGCGG